AUUUUAUUUCUAGUGAUUGGAAUGAUGGGAAUUUAAACCCCUUUCAGAGUAACAAUUGGAGGGCAAGUCUGGUGCCAGCAGCCGCGGUAAUUCCAGCUCCAAUAGCGUAUAUUAAAGUUGUUGCAGUUAAAAAGCUCGUAGUUGGAUAUCUGCUGGAAGCAAUCAGUCCGCCCUAUUUGUAGGGUGUGCACUUGAUGAAUUCUGGCAUCUAUUAUGUCCCGAUAGUAAUUGGGAGAAGGGCUAUUGAACGAAAGUUCAGUAGCUUGUGUCUCCGAUUUUAUUAUUGGGAUAAUACUGUUACUUUGAGAAAAUUAGAGUGUUUGAAGCAGGCUAAUUGCCUUGAAUACUGCAGCAUGGAAUAACAAUAUAGGAUUUCGGUUCUAUUUUGUUGGUUUCUAGGACUGAAAUAAUGAUUAAUAGGGACAGUUGGGGGCAUUCGUAUUUAACUGUCAGAGGUGAAAUUCUUAGAUUUGUUAAAGACGAACUACUGCGAAAGCAUUUGCCAAAGAUGUUUUCAUUAAUCAAGAACGAAAGUUAGGGGCU
rnacentral:rRNA from 1 species